UGAUUAAGUUCCUGCUGAAAGUUCUUUCCCCUGCAAGGGCCUGGCCUGCUGAUUUGGGAGCUUGAAGCAGCAAAUUCCUGUUAAGGGUCUGUCCAUUCCCCAUUUUUCUUUCUUUCUUUUUUUUCUAUCUCGCAUAUAAAAUAUUUUUCUUUAAGGCUAUGUUUGGCAAAGCAUUUGGAGAGCCAGAAAAUACUUUUCAUGCCUUUUAUCCCUCCAACAGAACUUUUGGAUAUGAUAGCAAUGUUCGGUAAAAAAAAUCUGAAAGCUGGUUUAUCUUUGCCAAUUUGUUAAAAAGGUCUAUAUAAAAGAAGCUCAGAAAUAUUUUCUAGGAG
rnacentral:lncRNA from 1 species